rnacentral:lncRNA from 1 species
CAGGACCCUGAGAUCAUGACCUGAGCCGAAGGCAGAGGCUUUAACCCACUGAGCCACCCAGGUGCCCCACAAGUUGAUUUUUUAUAAAAGGAUGUCGUGGAUGCCAUGAUGUGGCGUCCGUGUACCCCUGCAGGACCAGUCAUUUAUUCCCCCAGCGGAGGCCGGGAGUUGUGGCUGCUGAUGACUCACAGUUCUAGUGAAUUCUUCAGAAAUUGGCCUUAGCUUAAAGGAAGCUGCUCUAAGAUGACAAGUCCUCUUCAAGGGCAGCCUUUAUCCUUGAGAGCCCUCAGCACUCUUGACAGGUGUCGUUUGCAAGAACUCUUCCCAGUAAACCGUCUACCUGCAAACCUCCCUCCCAGAAUCUGUUCCCUGGGACUGAACAGGUUCAGGACUGAGAUCAAGGCAGCAGAGGGCUUGAGUGACUUCUGGAAGGAAGCACUGCCUAACUCCAGUUUCUAUUCUAAGAGACGGCCACUUGGAAUAAAAGUUAAAUUUCCCAGCUUCCCUUGCAAGCUCAGGCUGCCUCUUCUCUGUGGUUGUAAGAUGGCUGCCAGCCGCUCCUGGCUUCUAUGUCAUGUCAGCGGCCUCAGCAGAGAGAGCACCACUUUCCUGGAUGAUCCAGCACGAGGUUGGGGUUGUCAGAGGAACAAGAAGACAAGCCACAGCCUGGAGGAGCCCAUUUGCAAAAGCAUACAGUAGUCACCCCUCAUCCACAAGGGAUACGUUCCAAGACUGCCAGUGAAUGCCUAAAGCCACGAGUAGUACCAAACCCUAUAUUUACCAUGUUUUUUCCUAUACCUCCAUGUGAUAAACUUUAAUUUAUAAAUUAGACACAGUCAGGGAUGAUCAAAAAUAACAAUAAUAAAGGGUGAUUAUAGCAACA